ACUCUUCCACGUAAAAACAUCACCAUUUGUGCAGUUGAAGGCUUGAUUCUUAGCUCCCUCAGUCACCGCUGCCCAUAUUUGUUGCUCAGCUAGCACCCUUGCAUCAGACAUGUCACAGAAGUGCUCCCAUGUGUAUUUGUUCCCAGGGUAUCGAAAUGGUAACCCCUGGUAUCGACAAAUUAUAGCAUAAACAGAUAGAGUAAGCAGUGUGUUAUUCAGACUUCUUGAAGAUGCACCUAUUAUUAUUGAUGAGCGAUGAACUGAGUGUGUAAUGGAAGGCAAAUAGGAGGCAACCAAGUCUUCUAAGGCAUAAUAGAAAUUGGGGUAGGGAAGUCUGCCUAGGUCCUCCUUGAAAGGUUGGUCCUGAUGGACAAGCUCGCCUCUAAGUGAAGGGUCAUAUAUUGGACCCAUGUAGUGUUUGGUUCCGGUUAGCAAAGUGACAUGCCUGAGCCUUGAAGGGGCAGCGGGUUUGAGUGCAUUAAGCACGUUGGCUAGCAUGGUGGAGUUCAUGGAGAUGUUUACUUCUUCAUUUCCAUGGUGUUGCAUGGAAACCCAGAAGACGUGGGUGAUCUCAUGAGCCACAGGUGAGAGAUAUGAAACCGUCGACCAAGAAAGCGGGAAACCAUCUUGGCAAGGGACGCCUCGCUAUGCCAUACACCUUCCACGGCCUGCCUGGAGUUGUUGGCUUCUGCAGAUCCUCAGCCAAGCUAAAUCCUGCCAAGCCAGUUAUACCCACAAUCAGGGCAACUGAUGCAUCUGAAGAGUUUUCUCUCUCCAUAAAGAAUGCCCAAUUAUGUUUCUUUUUGGCCCUAGCAUUGCACUGAGAUAUCAUUGAAGAUAAGAAAUCCUCCCCAUCUUGUUUUUUUUUUUUUUAAUUUCUGACCAUAUAUACAUCCUCAGAAAUUGACCAUACAUCCUUGGAAUAAACAACGGGAAUUCUGUGGCUAUGGAAUGCUAUGCUAUCUACAAGAAGAAUAAUUAAAGCAUUUUUCUAGAUAUACUGAGCAUGCUUUUGAAAGUAUCCUGUAACAUUGUUUUCUAAUAUAUUAAAAUAUAUUUUUAAUAUUAAUAUAUUAGAAUAAUCUAAAAAAAUAUAUAAAAAAUUAAUUGAAAACUAAAAAAAAUCAAAAAUAUUUUAGAAGACAAUGCCAAAAUAUAAUGAUCGAUCGCUUUACAACUUGGAUAUGAUGAAAUGCAGCCAAACCCCACUUGAAAUGAAUGGCCUGAAAUCGAGUUUGAAUUGUUAAAAUGCCCUAUAAUUAUUUAAUCCAACAACAUAUAAACCAGAUCAAAAUGUAACAUCAGCCCAGCAAAAUUGGAUGGAGAUAGUCUUCUAUGUCAGGCUCAAUUUCUAUUUUUUUUUCUUUUUUCUUUUUCAUUAAAACAAAAAAAACUUCUUAUGUUAAUAUAUAAUUAAUCAUAAAAUAAUUGUUAAUAUUGUCAUAAAGCUAUAAUCUUCUCGAAUACCAUGACAUAAUUAGAAUAGUUUUAAAAUCCGGUCCAACCCGACAUGUUAAUUCGGGACCCGGCUGACCCGGGGUUGGAACCGGGCCGAAUUUAAGAAAAAAUAAGAGAAGUAAAAAAUUCGGGUGACCUGACAAGUUGACCGGCCUGGUUAAAAACCUGGUUGCAACCCAUUGACUAUUUUUUUUUACCAAAACAAUAUCGUUUUGAUUUAUAUAAACAACUGGGUUGACCUGAGUGACUCGAUGACCCGAUGACCCGAUCUAAACCUGGUGACCUAGGUCUUGAGUUGAGUCGAUUAUCAGACCGGGUUUAAAAACUCUGAUAAUUAGAAGCUUUAUUAACUAUUAUUAUUUUAAUAAAUUUAUUUUUAAGAGAAUUUUAUUUUAAAAUCAAUAAAAAAAAUGGCUCUUUAAGAAAAGAAAGGCACACUUAAGUAUGGGAGGAAACUGGAAAAGUUUGUGCGCAUGAGAUCGGAAGGCCACAUCCAUCUGCCUAGGUUUGUUUCUCUCUCUUUGUUUUUUGUUUUUUUCAUACAAAACAUCGUCUAUGUAAACACUCAACUUAACACUGGUAUAUCAGUACUAAAAAAGACAAUUUUUGAUAGAGAAAUGAUAAUUAAAAAGAAAAAUUUGCUAUAGAUGGGGAUGAAAACCUUUAGAAAUUUAAUUUAAAUUUCAGAUGAAAUAAAAUAAUGAAUAAAAUAAUGAAAUAUUAACCUUGGCUAAAAUAAUUAUUUAAAGAAUUUUUUUAUAAAUUGGGGAGGAAAACAAUGAUAAUAGAGUAUAAUUCUAAGAAAAAUAAUGUAUGACUUUACGUGCAAAAAAACAUUGAUUUUUGAUAUAAAUUUCACAUACAAUCACGCUAUUUUGACUGGAAAUACUGAAAACUCUAAGUAAAUUCUUGUGAUGAUUAUAUAUUGAUGAAAAUCAUCAAUGAAUUAGUUUAAAAAUCAUGGGAAUAUAAGUAAAUAAAAUGAUACGUAAAAGUUUGAAUUUUUUAUAUAAAAUUAUCUAAUAUUUAAUUUCAUAGUACCAAUUAUAUUUACUGUUGAAUUAGAUUGAAAUAAUAUAAGUAGUCUCCAUUAUAAUUUGAGUUAGAUUUUCAAUCGUGGUUGUAAAAACUUGAAAUGAAUGAAAAUGAACAUUUGAGCAAAUGAGAAACAUAAAAGAUUAAGCAGUGGCCAAGAAUGUAAUAAAUAAAAAUUAGAAUCCUAAACCUAAUAGAAAAACAACAUAAAAUUUAUAAUUUAACUAGAAAUCAAUAGAGAAAAAAAAAUAGCAUUUAAUGAAAACCAUUGCAUCAUUAAUUAGUUACACUAUUGUAUUAUUUUUCUUACAUUGAGAAGAAACAAGCUAAGCAUGGAUUGGAGUGGACAUCAUCUUCAUGGUAUGAUUUUCAUGUCCCUCAGUCUCCCCACCCACAUUGGAAUACUCUUUAGUGUAUCAGCAAACCCUAGAAACCCAGAUUCUCUACUCUUGUUCAUGCUACAGACAUGUUGAAACCCAAAAUGCAAACCCACAUUAAGUGCUUCAAAACAAGUAAUAUCUUCCAUCUUAGUCUCAAACAGCCCGAAUUUCUCAACAAUCUCAUCCCACACUUUGCCUUUACCCUUUAUCAUCCCCAGCCAAUCAAACUUCUCCUCAUUCUCUUCAAAGGCCACAAACUCAACAUCAAAGACCUCACACAGGACUCCCCAUAAACUCUUCCACGUAAAAACAUCACCGUUUGUGCAAUUGAAGGCUUGAUUCUUAGCCCCCUCAGUCACUGCUGCCCAUAUUUGUUGCUCAGCUAGCAUCCUUGCAUCAGACACGUCACAGAAGUGCUCCCAUGUAUAUUUGUUCCCAGGGUAUCGAAAUGGUAACCCCUGGUAUCGACAAAUUGUAGCAUAAACAGAUAGAGUAAGCAGUGUGUUAUUCAGACUUCUUGAAGAUGCACCUAUUAUUAUUGAUGAGCGAUGAACUGAGUGUGUAAUGGAAGGCAAAUAGGAGGCAACCAAGUCUUCUAAGGCAUAAUAGAAAUUGGGGUAGGGAAGUCUGCCUAGGUCCUCUUUGAAAGGUGGCUCCUGAUGGACAAGCUGGCCUCUAAGUGAAGGGUCAAAUAUCGGACCCAUGUAGUGUUUGGUUCCGGUUAGCAAAGUGACAUGUCUGAGCCUUGAAGGGGCAGUGGAUUUGAGUGCAUUAAGCACGUUGGCUAGCAUGGUGGAGUUCAUGGAGAUGUUUACUUCUUCAUUUCCAUGGUGUUGCAUGGAAACCCAGAAGACGUGGGUGAUCUCAUGGGCCACAGGUGAGAGUUUGUUUGCUGUAUCGGCACAGUCUAAGGCAUCAAGAGAUAUGAAACCGUCGACCAAGAAAGCGGGAAACCAUAUUGGCAAGGGACGCCUCGCUAUGCCAUACACCUUCCACGGCCUGCCUGGAGUUGUUGGCUUCUGUAGAGCCUCAGCCAAGCUAAAUCCUGCCAGGCCAGUUAUACCCACAAUCAGGGCAACUGAUGCAUCUGAAGAGUUUUCUUUCUUCAUAAAGAAUGCCCAAUUAUGUUUCUUUUUGGCCCUAGCAUUGCACUGAGAUAUCCUUGAAGAUAAGAAAUCCUCCCCAUCUUGUUUUUUUUUUUUUUAAUUUCUGACCAUAUAUACAUCCUCAGAAAUUGACCAUACAUCCUUGGAAUAAACAACGGGAAUUCUGUGGCUAUGGAAUGCUAUGCUAUCUACAACAAGAAUAAUUAAUUAAAGCUUUUUUCUAGAUAUACUGAGCAUGCUCUUGAAAGUAUCCUGUUUGUUUACAAAGUAUGAUAAAAAAUUGUUUUUAAAAACAUUUUUUAUUUUAAAAUAAUAUUUUUUUUAAAAAAAUAUUUCUAAUAUUAAUAUAUUAGAAUAAUUUAAAAAUAUAUAAAAAUUAAUUGAAAACUAAAAAAAAAUAAAAAAUAUUUUAGAAGACAAUGCCAAAAUAUAUAUAUAAUGAUCGAUCGCUUUACAACGUUGAUAUGAUGAAAUGCAGCCAAACCCCCCCUGAAAUGAAUGGCCUGAAAUCGAGAUUGAAUUGUCAAAAUGCCCUAUAAUUAUUUAAUCCAAAAACGGAUGAACAAAAUCAAAAUGUAACGUCAGCCCAGUAAAAUUUGAUGGAGAUAGUCUUCUCUUUCAGGCUCCAUUUCUAUUUUUUUUCUUUUUUCUUUUUCAUUAAAAAAAACAACAACAAAACGGUACUAUCUUUUGAAUCUUAAACUCUCAAGUUUUUUUAUAUAUUCAAAGAUAUAUAGUAUGUAAUACUAAGGUAGUGCUUUUAAAAAUUUAUUUUUAUUUAAUUAUAUGAAAAUUAAAAUAGAUAUUCAUAGUAUGAUAAAAAUUCUGGAGAAAAAAAUUAUUUUUUUAUCUAAAAUUAUCUUUUCUCACUCAUGUAAUUUUUUGUUUUGUUUUGACAAUAACAUACUCCUUUUGUUUUUGCUAGCAUCAUGAUUUAUUGAGUAAAAAUGACUUGAAUUAAAGAGGAAAUAAUAUAUCUUUUUAAUGAAAAAUCAUCUUUCCUUAUCUGUGUAUUUCUUUUCUUUUCUUUUUUAACAGAAACAUGUUUUUUUUAAUUAGAAGUAUUGUUCUUAAGAUAAAAAAAAUAUUAUGAUUGUAGCAGCAAGUUUCAAUAAAAAAUAAAAAAAAUUAUGAAUUAAUAAUUUCAUAUACAUCUAUGAAUAAAUAUAAAAAAUAAUAAAUAUAAGAAAAUUAUAUAAAAAAAGGUUACAAUGAGAAAAUAACAAGAUAGAUAUUAUAUUUUUAUUGAAUAUUAAUGAUAUUUUUUUAAAAAAACUUCUUAUGUUAAUAUAUAAUUAAUCAUAAAAUAAUUGUUAAUAUUGUCAUAAAGCUAUAAUCUUUUGGAAUACCAUGAUAUAAUUAGAAUAGUUUUAAAACCUGGUCCAACCUGACAGGUUGAUCCGGGACCCGGCUGACUCAGGGCUGGAACCGGACCGGAUUUAAGAAAAAAUAAGAAAAGUAAAAAAUUCGGGUGACCCAACGGGCUGACCCGGUCAAAAACCUAGUUGCAACCCGUUAGCUAUUUGUUUUUACCAAAACAACAUCGUUUUGAUUUAUAUAAAAAAGCGGGUAGACCUGGGUGACCCGAUGACCCAAUCAAAACCUGGUGACCUGGGUCUUGGGUUGAGUCGACUAUCGGGUCAGGUUUAAAAACUCUGAUAAUUAGAUGAUUUAUUAACUAUUAUUAUUUUAAUAAAUUUAUUUUUAAGAGAAUUUUAUUUUAAAAUCAAUAAAAAAAUGGCUAUUUAAGAAAAGAAAGGCACACUUAAGUAUGGGAGGAAACUGGAAAGGUUUGUGCGCUUGGCGUCGAAGAAAACCCGAGGCAUGCAUGAGAUCGGAAGGCCAAAUCCAUCUACCUAGAUUUGUUUCUCUCUCUUUGUUUUUUGUUUUUUUCAUACAAAACAUCGUCUAUGUAAACACUCAGCUUAACACUGAUAUAUCAGUACUAAAACAGACAAUUUUUGAUAGAGAAAUGAUAAUUAAGAAGAAAAAAUUGCUAUGGGGAUGAAAACCUUUAGAAAUUUAAUUUAAAUUUCAGAUGAAAUAAAAUAAUGAAUAAAUUAAUGAAAUAUUAACCCCGGGUAAAAUAAUUAUUUAAAUAAUUUUUUUAUAAAUUGAGGAGGAAAACAAUGAUACAAUAAUUUUAAUAAAGUAUAAUUCUAAGAAAAUAAUGUAUGACUUUACGUGUAAAAAAACAUUGAUUUUUUAUAUAAACUCUGUAUACAAUUACGCUAUUUUGACCGGAAAUGCUGAAAACUCUAAGCAAAUUUUUAUGAUAAUUAUUGAUCAUCAAUAAAUUAGUUUAAAAAACAAAUCGGUAUGAGUAAAUAAAAUAAUACAUAAAAAUUAAAAUUUUUUACAUAAAAUUAUCUAAUAUCUAAUUUUAUAAUAUUUAUUAUAUUUAUUGUUGAAUCAAACUGAAAUAAUAUAAGUAAUCUUCUAACAUAUUAUUAUAAUGGUUGUAAAAACUUGAAAUGAAUGAAAAUGAACAUUUGAGCAAAUGAGAAACAUAAAAGAUUAAGCAGUGGCCAAGAAUGUAAUAAAUAAAAAUUAGAAUCCUAAACCUAAUAGAAAAACAACAUAAAAUUUAUAAUUUAACUAGAAAUCAAUAGAGAAAAAAAAAUAGCAUUUAAUGAAAACCAUUGCAUCAUUAAUUAGUUACACUAUUGUAUUAUUUUUCUUACAUUGAGAAGAAAUAAGCUAAGCAUGGAUUGGAGUGGACAUCAUCUUCAUGGUAUGAUUUUCAUGUCCCUCAGUCUCCCCACCCACAUUGGAAUACUCUUUAGUGUAUCAGCAAACCCUAGAAACCCAGAUUCUCACUCAUGUAUUUUUUGUUUUGUUUUGUUUUGUUUUUGACAAUAACAUACUCUUUUUGUUUUUGCUAGCAUCAUGAUUUAUUGAGUAAAAAUGACUUGAAUUAAAGAGGAAAUAAUAUAUCUUUUUAAUGAAAAAUCCUCUUUCCUUAUCUAUGUAUUUCUUUCCUUUUCUUUUUUAACAAAAACGUGUUUUUUUUAAUUAGAAGUAUUGUUCUUAAGAUAAAAAAAAAUAUUAUGAUUGUAGCAGCAAGUUUCAAUAAAAAAUUAAAAAAACCAUGAAUUAAUAAUUUCAUCUACAUCUAUGAAUAAAUAUAAAAAAUAAUAAAUAUGAGAAAAUUAUAUAAAAAAGUUUACAAUGAGAAAAUAACAAGAUAGAUAUUAUAUUUUUAUUGAAUAUUAAUGAGAAUUUUUUAAAAAAACUUCUUAUGUUAAUAUAUAAUUAAUCAUAAAAUAAUUGUUAAUAUUGUCAUAAAGCUAUAAUCUUCUGGAAUACCAUGACAUAAUUAGAAUAGUUUUAAAACCCGGUCCAACCCGACAGGUUGAUCCGGGACCCGGCUGACCCAGGGCUGGAACCAAACCGGAUUUAAAAAAAUUAAGAAAAGUAAAAAAUUCGGGUGACCCAACGGGUUGAUCCGGUCAAAAACCCAGUUGCAACCCAUUGACUAUUUUUUUUUACCAAAACAACAUCGUUUUGAUUUAUAUAAAAAAGCAGGUAGACCUAGAUGACCCGAUGACCCGAUCAAAACCUGGUGACCUGGGUCUUGGGUUGAGUCGACUAUCAGGCCAGAUUUAAAAACUCUGAUAAUUAGAUGAUUUAUUAACUAUUAUUAUUUUAAUAAAUUUAUUUUUAAGAGAAUUUUAUUUUAAAAUCAAUAAAAAAAAUGGCUAUUUAAGAAAAGAAAGGCACACUUAAGUAUGGGAGGAAACUGGAAAGGUUUGUUUCUCUCUCUUUGUUUUUUGUUUUUUUCAUACAAAACAUCGUUUAUGUAAACACUCAGCUUAACACUGGUAUAUCAGUACUAAAACAGACAAUUUUUGAUAGAGAAAUGAUAAUUAAGAAGAAAAAUUUGCUAUUGGGAUGAAAACCUUUAGAAAUUUAAUUUAAAUUUUAGAUGAAAUAAAAUAAUGAAUAAAUUAAUGAAAUAUUAACCCCGGGUAAAAUAAUUAUUUAAAUAAUUUUUUUAUAAAUUGAGGAGGAAAACAAUGAUACAAUAAUAUUAAUAAAGUAUAAUUCUAAGAAAAAUAAUAUAUGACUUUACGUGUAAAAAAACAUUGAUUUCUGAUAUAAACUCCACAUAUAAUCACACUAUUUUGACCGGAAAUGUUGAAAACUCUAAGCAAAUUUUUACGAUGAUUAUUGAUCAUCAAUAAAUUAGUUUAAAAAAUAAAUCAGUAUGAGUAAAUAAAAUGAUAUAUAAAAAUUAAAAUUUUUUACAUAAAAUUAUUUAAUAUCUAAUUUUAUAAUGUUUAUUAUAUUUACUGUUGAAUCAAACUAAAAUAAUAUAAGUAGUCUUCUAACAUAUCAUUAUAAUGGUUGUAAAAACUUGAAAUGAAUGAAAAUGGAUAUUUGAGCAAAGAAAAAACAUAAAAGAUUAAGCAGUGGACAAGAAUGUAAUAAAUAAAAUGAGUGCAUUUAAAUGUAAUAUAUAAAAAUUAGAAUCCUAAACCUAAUAGAAAAACAACAUAAAAUUUAUAAUUUAACUAGAAAUCAAUAGAGAAAAAAAUAGCAUUUAAUGAAAAACAUUGCAUCAUUAGUUAAUUGACUCUUGCAUUAUUUUUCUUACAUUGAGAAGAAACAAGCUAAGCAUAGAUUGGAGUGGACAUCAUCUUCACGGUAUGAUUUUCAUGUCCCUCAGUCUCCCCACCCACAUCGGAAUGCUCUUUAGUGUAUCAGCAAACCCUUGAAACCCAGAUUCUCUACUUUUAUUCAUGCUACAGACAUGUUGAAACCCAAAAUGCAAAACCACAUUAAGUGCUUCAAAACAAGUAAUAUCUUCCAUCUUAGUCUCAAACAGCCCGUAUUUCUCAACAAUCUCAUCCCACACUUUUCCUUUACCCUUCAUCAUCGCUAAGCAAUCAAACUUCUCAUCAUUCUCUUCAUAGGCCACAAACUCAACAUCAAAGACCUCACACAGGACUCCCCAUAAACUCUUCCACGUAAAAACAUCACCAUUUGUGCAAUUGAAGGCUUGAUUCUUAGCUCCCUCAGUCACUGCUGCCCAUAUUUGUUGCUCAGCCAGUACCCUUGCAUCAGACAUGUCGCAGAAGUGCUCCCAUAUGUAUUUGUUCCCAGGGUAUAGAAAUGGUAACCCCUGGUAUCGACAAAUUGUAGCAUAAACUGAUAGAGUAAGCAGUGUGUUAUUCAGACUUCUUGAAGAUGCACCUAUUAUUAUUGAUGAGCGAUGAACUGAGUGUGUAAUUGAAGGCAAAUAGGAGACAACCAAGUCUUCUAAGGCAUAGUAGAAAUUGGGGUAGGGAAGUCUGCCUAGGUCCUCCUUGAAAG
rnacentral:lncRNA from 1 species